ensembl:lncRNA
GGAUGGGAUGGGAUGGGAUGGGAUGGGAUGGGAUAGGGUAGAGUAGGAUAGGACAGGACAGGACAGGACAGGACAGGAUGGAAGAGUUCAAAGGGACCUUCAGCAAUUUAGUCCAUCUGCCUGUCCACUUCAGGAUUAACCAAAAGUUAAAAAUUACUUUUGAAGGCGUUAUCCAAAUGUGUCUUGGACACUGACUGGUAUGGGGCAUCAAUCACCUCUGCAGGAAACCUGUCUAUAAAUGAUUCAGAACAGCUUCCUAACCUAUUGUAAUAUUUCUCUGAAUAGAAAUUCUGCCAUGACACUUCAUAUAUUCUUAUACCUUAUUAGCUUGACAGUCAAAAACAUGCAUGCAUUAUUAUAGGCUUAGAAAUUGCCUCUCUUGUUCUAUGGUUCAAUCUCAUAAUAGAGACAUUGAUAUUAUACAUUUUCAUAAAAGAAUUCUAGUUUCUAUUUCCAUUCCUUGCAUUUCCAAACCUUGGAUCUCAUUUGUUUUCAGCUGAUUUUUUCAUUCUUAGAGCACUUGGUUCUUGGUGGAGUUCUUCUCAUCUCCAGGUUGAACAGUUCCAGAUCUUUCAUCCUUGAAUCAUAUGAGAAACACUCAAGACCUUUAAAAAUCUUUGUGGGCCUUCACUGAACAUGUUCCAGUAUUUCCACGUUUUCUUGUACUGGUCAGCUCAGAACUGGACUCAGCACUGAGUGCUGAGCAGGGGGGAAAGAUCACCUCUCUGACCAGCUGGCAGCUCUCAGUUUACUGCAGCCCAGGAUGCUGUUGGCCACCUUUGCAACAAGGGCAUAUUGUUAGCUCAUAUUCAGCUUGUUGUCCACCAAGGCCUCCUGGUCUUUCAUUGCAAACCUGCUUUCUGGUUGGAUGGUCCCCUGUAGGUGCUCAUGUGUGAGGUUAUUUUUCCAUUUGGCAUUUUCUUUUGUUUAUAUCCAUGAGGUUCCUGUUGGUUCAUUUCUCCAGCUUUUUGAUGUCCCUCUGACCAGCAGCACAACCAGCUAGAGCAUGAGCCACUCCUCUCAAAUUUGUACCAUGUGCAAACCUAGAUUAAUCCCCAUCACCCAGAUUAAUGAGGAUGUUUCACAGUCUUAACCCUAGUAUUGGCCCUUGGGAUGAAUCCACUGGCUUUUCUUUGAGAGCUCUCCCUGGUUAAUUUUUUCAGGAUGGUCCACAUUCCCCUACUCUCAUAUGCCUGGCUCAGAGAGCAUAGGGAAAAAAAAAAAAGAAUAGGAUAAGGAUUGCAUCUGUAUAACUGCGGUUCCUGCAGUGACCUUUAUAGCCUUAUCUCAUGGAGCAUGGAGUGUAGGAUGAUGAUAAAUCAUGCCUUUCUAUAAGCUCCUCGUAUUCACUAUAUAUGGAAGACUUAAGGUCUACCAGACUCUGAACUGACUGCCUCAUUCUGCUAGAGCUAACAAAGUGAUCUCGACAAGUCUUUUUUCCCAAUCAUUUUUUUAACCUUUUAGUUAAACUAUUGGACUUUCAUUAUUGUACUGGAUAAUGUUGCCAAUAGCUUUUUAAUGUUAGCACUUCAGUCUGUAAUGUGAUGGGUACCCGAGUUCUUCUAUAGUAUUACUUCUUUGUGCUGAUUUGUUUUUGGCAUUUAUGUUUUGUGUAGUUCACAAAACUGAAAUGCCUUGUUAUCCCUAAUCAGAAAAUUCAAUAUUAGGAUUACUGUUACAAAAAGAUCCUAGGAAAGACAUGUAAAUUCUUGAAUGUUUAAUAAAAGUUGAUCUACUAACCUCUCGCCUCAUUCCCCUGAAAGUAUCCUCUUUUUCUUAUGCCUGGCUGGAUAUUUUCAUUAAAUUUGGGGAAAUUAUCUUCUCUGAUGUCAUUGAAACUAGUCAGGCGCAACUCUCUUGAUGGCAUAUAGAGAAAAAUGGACACAUCCAAGAUGUAAAUCAUUUCAUCCUGUGUUACUUAGCCAAAAUAGAUUAUACCCACAAAAACAUAAAAAUGCCUGUUGUACUUCAUUUUCUCUAAAUAAAGCCUAGAGCAACUAACUCAGCUGUAGACUUCUAUAUUGAAAACGCCUAAAGGUCGAUGAAAUUAAUCACAUCCAGUGAAAAAGCAAACUGCUUAUGCACUUAGAAAACAUGAUUAUCUAAACCUCACUUCUCUAGUAAAUCACAUGAAGUCUCUGGCACUUAUAAAGGGCCUGCAUGAUUGACAUCUCUAAUAUAAAUAUAAUUUCUUAGAUUACUUAAAACUUUCAUGUCAAAUUCAUCGUAUCAGUCAAAGGCUACUUAUUUCUUUUAUUUUGUUUUUAAAAAAGGAGAGACCCUCUCUGUCUCCUGACAUUUCUCUUUAGGACUUCAACUUCCUCAGCCUCCAGUACUGACAUUCACCCUGUAGUUGGUAAAUUUUCAGCAUCUUCUGUUUUGUUGCAGGAAAGUCACCAGUGAAUAUUGGUAGAACUAUCCCUGGAUCUUCUAUGCAAUUUCUUUGAUUUCUGAUGACUACAAUAUAUUUCACUGCAGUAAGGAGGAAGAUCAUUCAUUUGUUCUCAUUUGUACAGAAUCUUCUAAAACGUUUUCUCAGUUGAGAACAGAAUCGCAGAAGUGAUCACACUGUGAACCAAAAGUACUAAUAAACUAUAUAAAAAAUCAUACUUCAUAUUCCUCUUAUCUAUUCUAUGAAGUGAGGAUGAGAAAACCGGGGCUGUUCUGCCUGGAGAGGAGACUCAAGGAGAUAUUAUUAAUGCCUAUAAGUACCUGAUGGGAGGCUGCAAAGAGGAUGGAGCUGUUCUCCAUCACUGUUCUGUGAUGCACAGUGCCAGAACCAGAGACAAUGGACACAAACUGGAGCCCAGAAAGCUCUCUCUGACCAUCGGGAAGCACUUCUGUGAUGUGUGGGUGACAGAGCCCUGGGUUAGGGAACAAAGAUGUUGGGUUUUCCUCUUUGGAGAUCUUCAAAAGCUUCCUGGCCGUGGUGCUGGGCACCCUGCUUUGGGUGGCUUUGCUGGAGCGAGGGUUGGACCAGGUGGACCCAGAUGUUCCUUCCAGCCUCUGCCAUGGUGUAAUUCUGUGUCAUUAGAUGCCCAG